rnacentral:rRNA from 1 species
AUUGAACGCUGGCGGCAGGCCUAACACAUGCAAGUCGAGCGGAGCGGCGGACGGGUGAGUAAUGCCUAGGAAUCUGCCUGGUAGUGGGGGAUAACGUCCGGAAACGGGCGCUAAUACCGCAUACUAUCAGAUGAGCCUAGGUCGGAUUAGCUCGUUGGUGGGGUAAAGGCCUACCAAGGCGACGACCCGUAACUGGUCUGAGAGGAUGACCAGUCACACUGGACCUUAGACACGGCCCAGACUCCUACGGGAGGCAGCAGGUGGGAAUAUUGGACAAGGGGCGAAAGCCUGAUCCAGCCAUGCCGCUUGUGUGAAGAAGGUCUUCGGAUUGUAGAGCACUUUAAGUUGGGAGGCGUUACCAACAGAAGAAGCACCGGCUAACUUCGUGCCAGCAGCCGCGGUAAUUC